GGAAUCUUGGUCAAUGGGCGUAAGCCUGAACCAGCCAAGUAGCGUGAGGGAUGACGGCCCUAAGGGUUGUAAACCUCUUUUGCCGGGGAAUAAACUGCGCCACGCGUGGCGUUUUGUAUGUACCCGGAGAAUAAGGACAGGCUAAUUCCGUGCCAGCAGCCGCGGUAAUACGGAAGGUCCGGGCGUUAUCCGGAUUUAUUGGGUUUAAAGGGAGCGCAGGCCGGCGAUUCAGCGUGACGUGAAAUGCUGCGGCUCAACCGUGGAAGUGCGUCGCGAACUGGUUUCCUUGAGUGAGUGCGACGUUGGCGGAAUUCGUGGUGUAGCGGUGAAAUGCUUAGAUAUCACGAAGAACCCCGAUUGCGAAGGCAGCCAACGAGUCCUUAACUGACGCUAAUGCUCGAAGGUGCGGGUAUCGAACA
rnacentral:rRNA from 1 species